GACGAACGCUGGCGGCGUGCCUAAUACAUGCAAGUCGAACGAGAGCAACCGGUGCUUGCACUGGUCAAUCUAGUGGCGAACGGGUGAGUAACACGUGGGUAACCUGCCCAUCAGAGGGGGAUAACAUCCGGAAACGGAUGCUAAAACCGCAUAGGUCUUCGAACCGCAUGGUUUGAAGGGGAAAAGAGGCGCAAGCUUCUGCUGAUGGAUGGACCCGCGGUGCAUUAGCUAGUUGGUGAGGUAACGGCUCACCAAGGCCGUGAUGCAUAGCCGACCUGAGAGGGUGAUCGGCCACAUUGGGACUGAGACACGGCCCAAACUCCUACGGGAGGCAGCAGUAGGGAAUCUUCCGCAAUGGACGCAAGUCUGACGGAGCAACGCCGCGUGAGUGAAGAAGGUUUUCGGAUCGUAAAACUCUGUUGUUAGAGAAGAACAAGUGCUAGAGUAACUGUUAGCGCCUUGACGGUAUCUAACCAGAAAGCCACGGCUAACUACGU
rnacentral:rRNA from 1 species